ensembl:lncRNA
CCGCGGUACGACCUGCCGGGGCGAACACACUGUGCUGUUGGGAUUGUUAUAAAUGUACAAUGAGCGUUUUCAUGUUUGACCUCGUUUCUUUUGUAACAUUAUUUUAGUGCACUCGAGUCCGGUGGAACACUUACAGCCAUGAACAAUCUUAUUUAAGCUACACGGGGCCUUGACAUCACAAAGCCAAGUCAGACAACUGAAAAUAUGUUCUUAUUGCAAAUGUUAUGAUGGACUAUUAUCCUGGUCUUUUUCACCGCAUACUCCCGGGUGCAUGUUUAUUAUCCUCUUAAAGUUUGGUCUUAAUUUGUAUUUCAUCUUGUUUUUAUUUAUAACAUUAUAUCAUGUUUUGUGAAUGGGAUACUAUGACAUUGGGCUGUUACGUUGCUUUCGUCUUCGAGCAUGUGUUACAGAGUAAAAGUCAAAACUAAACAUCGGGCACCUGAAAAGAGUAACGGCGGUUCCGAAAUGGGCCGCCAUUUAUUUUAACGGGGAAUGCGAACAUUCCUCUAGAAAGUAGUUGGUCCGAUAAAGGAGAGGAAAAGAGUCUCAUGACGUUUCUUGGUUCUUGAUGAACAAUAAAAAAACUAAGUAGUUUGUAGAAUCCACUCUACCGUAUAUUUAACAUGCAAUGGUUUUCACUUGAUGUUUGCUGUGACAGUAGACAUAGAAAGAGACUGAUCAUAAAUCCAUGCAGUGCCUUCUUAAAGAAGUAGUUCAACAUUUUUGGGAAAUGUGUAGCUUUAGCUUUUCUGCAUUAAACAAGAUGAUUGAUACCUCGUUGUGUCGUAUUUUGGGGGAACGCGCUGAGAGCUUUAGGGGGUAAGCAGAUUCAGUUACCUUUGCACAUACGCUAGCUUUAUGCUAAGCUAAGCUAGCCGGCUGCUGAUGGAUGAUUUCUUUUUUACGAACAGAAAAAAAUUGUAAAUCUGUUCAUUUAAGACCUCUUAUCUUUGCUCAUUCUCCCCAAUGUGCACUUAUGUUUGUUUGCUUGUAUGAAUAUAUUGUUCUGGUUUUGCCAGCUUGUGUAUUUAUUUAUUCGUCCCAUUUUAAAAGUGUGUACACGGCGUGAAGAAAAAGGACACUGCUUCCGACUGAGACUUCCGUGAGCUUCUGUGGUCACAGGCGUCCAGUUCCGUCCUC